CAGAUGUUAUUUAUUUUGUUGCUCUUUAGUGGCUUUAUGGGAAUAACAAAUUUCAAUGCUUUCUUUAUUAAAUUUCAUUAUCUUUUCUUUAGCAAUAUGGAUUGGCUAUUUGAUCCACGUACAACGCCAAUCAUAUUACUGAUGCCCGAAAAAUUUUUUACAGUACUAUUUGGAUUAUGGUUAGGAUUUACAUUGAUAAUCUUACUUUUGAUCUGGGGAUGGAUAAAGCUGAUGUUAAGCAUCUUCUUUAACAAAGCGUGAACGUAAUGCUCCAACAACGGCUGGAAUUAACGUAACCACAAUAAUUGCAAGAAUGAUGACAGAGAAGUGUUCUUGAACGAACGGAAGAUUACCGAAGAAGUAACCACAUCCACAGCAAAGUGCUACCCAGAUAACACAGCCAAUUACACUAUAACGAAUAAAUUGCUUGUAGGGAAAACCAGAACCUGCUGCCGCAAAUGGUGCAAAUGUUCUAAUGAUCGGAAUGAAACGGGCGAGAAUAAUAGCGGGCGCACCAUGCUUUUCAAAGAAGACUUCGGCACGUUCUAGACUAUCUUUAUCAAUCAAUUUACCAAAAAGUGAAUGGUUAGAAAGACUCUUACCAAUCUUAUGACCAAUUAAAAAGUUAAGGGAGUCUCCACCCAAACAGGCGCAUAAGAAAAUAAAAAUAAAAAUCCAAAUAUUAAGAUGAUAACGUGGGUCAGCAGCUAGUGCGCUUGCAGCAAAAAGAAGGGAAUCUCCAGGUAGAAAUGGCAUUAUGACUGCACCAGUUUCAAUAAAGAUAAUAGCGAAUAAAAUUAAAUAGGUCGCAUCGCCAAAUUGAUUAACAAUCUGAAUUAAAUGAACAUCAAUAUGUAAUAUAAAAUCAAUAAGAGUUGCCAAGGUAAUUCUCCUUUGUGUAAUAAGAUAAUACUGUUAAAGUGUAGCAAGAUAGAAAAAUGUUGUGAAGAGGCGUUUAAAACUUUUAAUAAUUUUUGAAAAAAUAUAUUUAUUGUAAGUAUAAAUUAGUCGUGUGAGACUAAUUCUUCAUGGUCAAUGACGAAAGGAUCAUUGCACCCUUUUUGAAAAGGCUGAAUAACGUUUAUUAUCAUUAAGAAUGGUAAAGCAAACGAAAAAAUAAAUAAAAAUCAAAAAAAGUGUUGACGAGGGAGUGAAAUCCAUGUAUAGUAGUUAUCGUUGUCAAAGCAGUUAAGUGCUGUUGAGAUGGUUAACAAAAAAGUUAAAAAAUUGUUGACAUCUACUCGACGACAUGAUAUAUUAAUAGAGUUGCUGAUUGAGUUAUCAAUCAAAAGAAAUUCAAAAUUAAUUAAAAUUUCUUCUUGACAAGUUAAUCUAAUAUAUGUUAUAAUAAUUAUGUUGAUUGGCUGCUUAAUUAGCCAACAGGUAGACCUUUGAAAACUGAACAAAGUUUCGACGAAUCAAAUGUGUAGGGUCUUCAAUCACGAUGUGAUUUGAAGCAAAACAUUUGCGAAGUCAAUUCGCUUAAUAACAAAGAUAAUUGAGAGCUAUUCAAGUUCUUAUAUAUUUUAUAUGA
rnacentral:rRNA from 1 species